rnacentral:rRNA from 1 species
UACAGAGGGUGCAAGCGUUGUUCGGAAUUAUUGGGCGUAAAGCGCGUGUAGGUGGCGUGCCAAGUCAGAUGUGAAAGCCCACGGCUUAACCGUGGAAGUGCACCUGAUACUGGUAUGCUCGAAUGUUCGAGAGGAUAGUGGAAUUCCCCGUGUAGAGGUGAAAUUCGUAGAUAUGGGGAGGAACACCAGUGGCGAAGGCGACUAUCUGGAGAAAUAUUGACACUGAGACGCGAAAGCGUGGGUAGCAAACAGG